CCUCCCGUCUCGCGCUUCCUGCUUCGCCGCUAAAGUUCUUCUCAUGGGACUUUCUGCGGGCGGUUAGCGGAGGAAACCGAGUCCCGGCUUCCACUUCGUGGAUCACACUUCAACACAAUCCACGGACACGUUGCGGACUCUAUGAUUCGAGCAGAAACAACGAUAUUUAUUCGUCCUGGAGCUGCCAAAUCCUGAAACAUGGAGGACCCAAACAAACUUCAGCGUAAAAUGUCAACAGCAGGAGAAAGCCUGUAUAAAAUCCUGGGACUGGAGAAGGGAGCAUCUCCAGAAGACAUAAAGAAGGCCUACAGGAAACUGGCGUUGAGGCAUCACCCCGAUAAGAACCCGAACAACCCAGAAGCUGCUGACAAAUUCAAGGAGAUCAACAACGCCAACUCCAUCCUCAGCGACGAGAACAAGCGGAAGAUCUACGACGAGUACGGCUCCAUGGGGCUCUACGUGGCCGAGCAGUUUGGGGACGACAGUGUCAAAUACUACUUCCUCAUGUCCAAGUGCUGGUUCAAGGCCCUCGUGGUGUGCUGCAGUAUUUUCACCUGCUGCUGCUGUUUCUGCUGCUGCUGUUUCUGCUGCGGGAAGUGCAAAACCGCCGAGGACGAGGCCAAUUUUGCCUACAUGGACCCCGAGGACCUCGAGGCGGAGAUCAGAGAACAGGAUAAAGGGGAUCAUGUAAUCGUUAUUCAGCCGAGCUCCGGAGCUUCAGAUGACGCCGCCUCCUCCUCAGGGGGAGAACCACUAAUCUCGAGUGACACUUAAUGGAAGCUCCGAAAAACUAUUCUGCUCCAGUCUCCUGUAUGCUGCAUAAGCUGUAAACUAACGUGGGCUAUUGGAGAAUAUCUUCAUAAAGUUGUCCUUGUUUGACCGCGUUCUUUUACACCGUAAAACGGGUGAGAAGGCACCGAUCGUCAUUCAGCCUCAGGCGAACCAGUCCUGAUGACACCGCAUUGUCAUCGGCAGCAGAGUCGAUCAUUUUUGGAAGAUGAUGAGUAUGAAUUGUGGCUGACGUGCAGAAAAGAUGUCGAUCUCAGUCUUGGUCUUGAAUGAAUCAAGCAGCGAUUUGAUUGUGCCAUAUAUAUAUUUUAAUAUGUGCCACAGGGUUUUGUCUUUGAUCCAACCUCAUAUUUAUUUGUACUUUUUUAUUUUGUUCAAAUAUUGGGUUGUAUGUGGACUGCAGUGAUGAAUGACAACGCCGUGCAGAUCAAAAUCUCUGGAAUAAUUAGUUGUUUUUAAUGUGCACUUUAAUAUCUUACGUUCGUGUUUAAAAUCCGAAAGCUGCCGCGACGGUCUGAGCAUAUUUUGGCUCAAGAUGAGUCAGAAAUGUUUUUAUAUAUAUAUAUAUAUAUAUAUAUAUAUAUAUAUAUAUAUAUAUAUAUAUAUAUAUAUAUAUAUAUAUAUAAAGCAACAUAAUAUGCUUGUUCCCAAUUGUUAAGAGGCCAACCACUCUGUUCAGUCACACUGUACAUAGAUACAUAUUGUAGAGGCAAAGAUCUUAUUGAAAUGUACAGUUUAUUGAGACUAACCCAAUCGGUUUGUGUUCACUGUUGUGCGUUUGUCUGACAGCCUGUAAAUAUGCCAAAGAGCAUUAAUGUUUGUCGUGAGUGAGGCUGACGGGCAUUAUGGGAACAAUUCAACAUUUUGGGAGAAACACUCGUUCACUUUCCUUCUGAAAGUUAGAUUUCUGCUUUAUGAUGCCAGAGCUCCCUGUGCGAGUCCUUUUUAAAAUAUCUAUUAAUUGACAAUAUAGCACCAUAUUCCCAAAAUGGGGAUUAAAUUACUCCAAUAGGAGGUUUUAUUUCGUAAUGAUGACUCUGUUUGACUUUUACUACUUUAUCACAUUUACUUGAAUAACCCAGACGUGACAUUUGGGUGAGUAGCCUAGCUUAGCAUAAAGACUGGAAGCGGACGGGAAGCGCUAGCCUGGCUAGUUGGUUCCACAAAAAAACCACAGACGGAUUUCACUGAUGAACACGUGUGUCGGUUGUUCAGAGGUUUUCAGGUCUGUUACCUUUUUUAGACGCAGUCAAGCUAGCUGUUCUUCCCCGUUUCCAGUCUUUAUGCUAAGCUAAGCUAAUUGGCUUCCAACGCACAGGCAUGUGUGGUAUCGAUCUUCUCGGCUAAUGCUCGUAAAGUAAACAAAUAAGAACAUCUCCCAAAGUAUUGAACUGGUCCUUGAAGAGAUAACAGUAGUACUGCACAUAAGGUGACCUCAAGAAGCGAGUGAAUAUGGUAUGGAGAAAAACUGAUGUGUUGUGAUGAGCGCGGUCCUGCUCUUGAAGCUAGAACCAAUGACCUGCUGAUUUGAUUCAUUGCCAAAUAUUCCAUAUGGAUGAAUUAUAUUCAGAUGAGUCGAGGCCUCCUUUCAACGACGAUGAUCUCUCUGCGCUGUGUAAAUUCAGAGGUGUAUUUUUUUAUCUAGCCAUUCUAGGUUUUAUUUAGAGAACGCCUUUUAAGUGAUCUUUUAUCGUGUUUGUAUAUUAUUUUGUAUUUCUGAUCGGUGUAGGAAUGUACAGUUUGUGCAUUUGGUACAAAUCAAAAUUGCAUAAGUGCAUUAUUUCUAGAAUUUGAUCUGUUUUUCUCAGGUGACUUGUGUUUCUAUACAUUCAACCAAAUCCAGAAAUGUCAGUUUUGUGCCUAAAGUGCCUAAAUGCGGGAUUUUAAUAUUAUUCAGGUUUGAAUUAUUUUGAUCAAACAAAAAAAGAAAGAAAGAUUACAGAUUUAGUUUUAUCAUCUCAACAUUCCCAGGUCUUUUUUUCUUUUUUCUCUCCAAUCGUUCAACUUUUCCAUGUUUAACAAAAAAAAAAAUGUAAAUUUCGUUAGAAGUAUUGUUUGUCUAAUCAAAUAAACUUUGCUGAUACUGGAAA